GUCUGAUGUGAAAGCCCCCGGCUCAACCGGGGAGGGUCAUUGGAAACUGGGGAACUUGAGUGCAGAAGAGGAGAGUGGAAUUCCACGUGUAGCGGUGAAAUGCGUAGAGAUGUGGAGGAACACCAGUGGCGAAGGCGACUCUCUGGUCUGUAACUGACGCUGAGGAGCGAAAGCGUGGGGAGCGAACAGGAUUAGAUACCCUGGUAGUCCACGCCGUAAACGAUGAGUGCUAAGUGUUAGGGGGUUUCCGCCCCUUAGUGCUGCAGCUAACGCAUUAAGCACUCCGCCUGGGGAGUACGGUCGCAAGACUGAAACUCAAAGGAAUUGACGGGGGCCCGCACAAGCGGUGGAGCAUGUGGUUUAAUUCGAAGCAACGCGAAGAACCUUACCAGGUCUUGACAUCCUCUGACAAUCCUAGAGAUAGGACGUCCCCUUCGGGGGCAGAGUGACAGGUGGUGCAUGGUUGUCGUCAGCUCGUGUCGUGAGAUGUUGGGUUAAGUCCCGCAACGAGCGCAACCCUUGAUCUUAGUUGCCAGCAUUCAGUUGGGCACUCUAAGGUGACUGCCGGUGACAAACCGGAGGA
rnacentral:rRNA from 1 species